AGAAGGAAUCGUAGUCAUACUGUCUACGAGAAUCCUGUAUCCAAGCCAGCUGACCAUGUAAACACAAUGGCGUAUGCUGUCGUCAUUUUUUAAAUGGUAUAUUCUGAUGUAGACGGAACUCGAUCGCCUUGAUUCCGUUGCCCUUGCAGCACCAUUUUUUAGUCUUUGAUAAUUAAUUGGCAUGAUUUUUUUUGCAAUGCAUUGCUCAUUCAUUCACUCUAGUGUGAAUGUGGUUUUGACGGAGUAAUAACUCGCAAAUUGCCGAGACAAAUAUGAAUGAGAAAAAGUCGGUCGGUGAAUUAAUUGGUUGGCUUGCAAUUGAAAAUGUUUUGCCGACUUUUAAUCAAAUCUGUCAACUACUAGUUAGAAGUUUUUAGUGUGUGAAGGGCAUUGAUAUAAGAUAAGCCAUCGUAUCGGAUGUCAUCCAGUAAUGCGGUAGGGAUUUCUUGUUUCACUGCAUACGGAAAAAUACGACGGUAGCGCCCCAGGACUGUGUCUAUAGUAAAAGCGGUUACAUAAUAUAAACUUACCUAAAAAGUGAGACCCUGAAAACGACUCAACAUGUAGGUCAAAAACGUACGGUAUAGCUUCCGCAGUGUCGGUAUCAGGAAGGUCACUUGCAUUGAUGGUGGGCUUAGCCUGGAGUUGUGCUGCCGCGACUAGCAUCAAACAGGCAAAAAUGAAAAGGAAGAAAAGUGCCUUUGUCAAUGACGAAAACAAAAAAGGAAUAAGCCAUCAGGUUUUCAAAUCUAUUGUGCUAUCCUUGUCGUUUUUGUAACACAAUGUACGAAAAUGGAAACUGGGAUGCAUGUAAUAAGUUGUCCCGUCUGUGAGCCAACCAAUCAAUUUGUCGUUAAGCUGGUUAUAGUUGAAAUAGAAAGUACUGCUAUCAGCUGUUUUAUAAUUGAGAACUUGGGGUUUUCCAAGUACUUCUCCGAGCUAUUGUUCCAGAAUAUGUGUGCCGUAAGCUUAUAUAUUGUUAACUAGGUUCAGUUGCUGAUAAUAUGUUUUAUACUCAUUUACGCAUAUGAUUAUGACGCAGGGAAAAGGUAAAACUUUUACAUGGGGAAAACCAGCCCAAUUUGAUUGUAGGUUAACAACAAACAAGGACGCUACAGACGCCGAGCUAUAGGCUAUAGGGGAGGGGGGGGGGUGGGUGGUCAUUCAUCUCCCGACUUUUCCGUAAUGCAAAUGAUUUUCUUCGUCUUUCCUAGUGCUAUCUACCUUUUCUACAAACAAACAUGCGUUUGUACAAUCACUAGAAAAAAACUUGUCUUCGCUCUCUUCAGAAACUCAUCUAAAUUUUCAGGACGUUCAAUCCCCUAAGAACCACGGUUUUUGCGCCGGACGAAGAGAGAAAAGGAGAAAGGAGAAGAAAUACAGAUUUUAUGAGAAAGUCGGCCAUUUUUGUUUUCUUCUGCUUCUGUAUAGCUGAAAUAAAAAAAAAAUGUUUUCAAUGGAUACGACAAGGAAACUUUUUUGAUCUCGAUAUUAUUUUUCGAUUUUUCCUCUUGACACGGUAAACGAAUUCCGGUGAACUAAAUCUAGACGUUUAUAGUGUGUAUUUUCAAUAAGCAAACAUGGCAAGUCCCGUUCCAGGAUACAAUAGUGGUGUGGUCGAUACGAUUGCGGCAUCAAGGUUUCCAAUAUAAACUCUCCGGGGCGUCUAGUCAAUGGCAUAUGUUGACGGAGCACGACACGGAUCAGCUACGAACUGACCAGUAGGCCAUUACAAAAUGGGAAAAUUUACGACACUUUUGUAUGUCAUGGGGAUCUUGGUGAUCCUGACCUGUCACAAAGUCAACUCCGGACCGAUCGGAUUAGAAUACGACGUUGAAGGCGAUCUUAGUGCGCCAUUGACGCAACGAGAUGCUCGUUUCUUCGGAUUUGGAAACAGAAUUGCAGACUACAGCCCAUACAAUUACUACGGCUAUGGCUACCGUCCGUUCUGGGGGAAUUUUGGAGGCUAUCUGGGUUUCUUUGGAAGAUAGUUAACAGGAGGGAACGGCUUUGACCUCGAAAAUAAAUUAUUUGAGAAAUAAUUAUUUAACGAAUUCUGAAUAAACAACUUUUUUAAUGCCUGUUGAAGGUUUUCAUUUAAAGAACUAGUGUACUCAUAAUAUAACAGAAAAUAUUUUGACUACAGCGUAUGCAUUUUUUAAAGUAAAUAUUACGUUGUUUAUAUUUAUAAGUGCUACGCCGUCCUUUAUGUUUUCUACUUUCAAAUUUCUUUUUUCAGAUUGACUCGUAGGUUAUUUAUGGUUUCACACGUCUUGCAAGUCACUAAUCUUA